UUCAAAGUAGUGAUGUAAAGUGGUUUGGUUAUACUGAGGACAAUAGUUUCUUUUGAAAAUCAUUUUAAACAAAUUCUAAUCCGGUGGAUUCAUCUUUAAAGUUUUCUACAUAAUCUUCUAUAUUUGGUUCAUAGACUUGUUCGAUAUAUUCAGUAAUCAAGUAGGAUUUAGUGGAAUAUUGGAAUACUAUGUGGCCGAAUCGUUGACACCUAGAACAUUGGAUUUGGUUUCUAGGAGAAUUGGAAGAAGGGGAGAGGCGGCGGUCGGGCUUGGCGGAAAGCGGGUCUGAAAGAGAGGGCGCAGAGUGAAAGGGGAGGAGAUGAGGGGCGGCCGGUGGGCGGUGUGGCGGAAAAGGGGGUGGAGCGCGAGAGGUGGCGGCGGGAGAAAGAGGGGUUCGGACGGUGGACAGUGGGCUUGGCGGCAACAAAUGAAAGAGGGAGUGGCGAGCGGCGCUGUGGGCAAUGCUGCGGGUGGUCGACGACGGACAGAAGGGGAGGCUCGGGCGGCAAGAGGCGCGGGCGGUGGUGAGCGGUGGAGGGGCGCGGAGGCGGCGCGACGCGGUGCCGGCGGCUCGGGGAAGGUGGUGCUAGACGGCGGCGGCUCGGGGGAGGCGGUAGUUGGCGGCAGCGGCGGAGUACACGGAGGGAGCUCGGACGGUGGAGCUUUCAGGAAGAAGAAUGCCGCAGGUGGCAUGCGGCGGCCACGGACACGGAAAGGGGCGCUCGGGGAGGAGCGGCGGCGCUCCUCUUUCUGGAUUCAAUAGAUGGAUGGCACGACAGCAGGAGGGUUUCCCCUUUCCUUGGGAGCCACCGCAAGGACCAGGGAGCCGGGAGGCGUCGCGGCGGAGUGCGCGGGCCGUUUCCCCUUUCUCAUGUCUGAUCGUCGGCCGUCUCAGGGAGGGGUACUCCGCCGGGAGAUGAAGACACACGGGGUGAAGAGAUAGCCUGCUGCUUUAGAAAGGAAGAAGAAAACCUGCCUGAGAUCUGAACAGCACCCACGUGAAGAACUUCUCUUUUUUUUUUAUUGUUGCUUCCCUGUGAUGCUUGAAUCCCACGGGAUGACUACAGUGGAGAACUUGGCCGUACU